rnacentral:rRNA from 1 species
CUCUUAGAUGUUCUGGGCCGCACGCGCGCUACACUGAUGAUGGCAACGAGUUUUUCCUUCGCCGAAAGGUGUGGGUAAUCUUUUGAAACAUCGUUGUGCUGGGGAUAGAUCAUUGCAAUUUUUGAUCUUGAACGAGGAAUUCCUAGUAAGCGCGAGUCAUCAGCUCGCGUUGAUUACGUCCCUGCCCUUUGUACACACCGCCCGUCGCUACUACCGAUUGAAUGGUUUAGUGAGGACUCCUGAUCGGCGCCGCCGCCCCGACAACGGAGCAGCGGACUGCCGAAAAGUUGUUCAAACUUGAUCAUUUAGAGGAAGUAAAAGUCGUAACA